AUGGAGCUCGGGAUCCAAACAUCCACUCUCUACCAACUAUAUGCAUCCAGAAAUAAGAGAGGAGUCAGCCACCGAGCGUUCUCAGCGAUUUGGGCAUUCUGGUCGUCGGAUCGUUUUCUUGAUUGUGUUCUGGCCGUUGGAUCUCGGGCUUGGUCACUGUGGCCCGUCAGAUAUUUACCCGAUCGUCUCCAACCGUCCAAUAUUUUCCCUAUGAGACGUGUCCCGCCCGGCCGUGCCACCGCGCGUAAUUAUGCUGCCCCGUCGAGGGCAUUCUCGUCAUUUCACUUGGCUGGGAAAAGAUCCUACAGCGCAGGCAGGGGCGAGACCGUAGAGACUGUCGUUCCCCUUCCGCUCCAGCCCGCUCGCCUCCUUCUCCCCCUCCCGCGCAUGUCUCUCUCUCUCCCUCUCGCGCCCCUCCCUGCCACGCCGCCGCCGUCGCCACUCCUGCUCCUGCUCAAGGACGAGGUGAUGAAGAUCACCCCCGUGCAGAAGCAGACGCGCGCCAGCCAGCGCACCCGCUUCAAGGCCUUCGUCGGUGGCGGCGACAGCAACGGCCACGUCGGCCUCGGUGUCAAGUGCGCCAAGGAGGCGGCGACGGCCAUCCGCGGCACCAUCAUCCUCGCCAAGCCCCUUGGGGGUCUAGAAUCAUGGCCGCCCGCGUCCCCAAGAAGGUGCUGCAGUUCGUCGGCAUCGAUGAUGUCUUCACUUCCUCUCGUCGAUCCACCAAGAUUUAAAUCAAAAAAUGUCGUGCUGACUGAGAAAUCUCAAGUAGAAAAUGCACAUAUUGUACUUCUCUUGACUAUUGUUUCUUCCUCCAUUUUACCUUUCUGGGUUAAAAGGUCUGAAAAUCUAGGGAAGGGGAGCCUUGGCGCAGUGGUAAAGCUGCUGCCUUGUGACCAUGAGGUCAUGGGUUCAAGUCCUGGAAACAGCCUCUUACAGAAAUGUAGGGAAAGGCUGCGUACUAUAGACCCAAAGUGGUCGGACCCUUUCCUGGACCCUGCGCAAGCGGGAGCUACAUGCACCAGGAUGGACAAGGGUAUCAUUGUGUAUAUAUGUGAUAGUCGUGGUGUCCCUGAAAUUUACGAGGAAGAUGGAGCUAGCACGAUUGGUGCAUCAGAACCUUCAGUUGUCCUGGUACAAGCUACCUUUGCUUACAAUGCCACAAUUAGAGAUUUUCUUGAUCAAUGUCAGUUUGACAGCUACACAUUGGAUAUAGAUAAUCUCUCCACUGGGAAGAUACCCCUCCACGCCCAGCCACCUCUUCACCACCACGCGCCAUUGAGCAUGCCCGCACUGAUGGGCGCCAUCACCGUUGACGGCAAGAGUGCAAGUCGCGGCUCAGGCCGCUGCUCCGUUGGGAUCACCAUCGUGUGCGUUCUGAUCUCCUUUUUUCUGCUGCUCCAUACAACGUACAACAGAGUUGUUGAUGCAAUGAGAGCUCGAUGUCGUGUCCGCCGGCUGAGCGGCAAGCCGGAGCUGCAAGUCUAUGAACAUGGUGGUGCUACUGUUAACAUGAAUGGAUAUGAUGGUAUGAUCUCCAUGAGCCUCAAUACUGCCAUCAGAUCAGGUUAA
rnacentral:rRNA from 1 species